AGAGUUUGAUCCUGGCUCAGAAUCAACGCUGGCGGCGUGCCUAACACAUGCAAGUCGAACGAGAAAGCGGGGGCAACCCCGUGAGUACAGUGGCAGACGGGUGAGUAACACGUGAACAACUUGCCCUCGAGUGUGGAAUAACCCCGCGAAAGCGGGGCUAAUACCGCGUAACAUCUCCGGGUCGCAUGGCCUGGGGAUCAAAGGCGAAAGUCGCUUGAGGAGAGGUUCGCGCCUGAUUAGCUAGUUGGUGAGGUAACGGCCCACCAAGGCGACGAUCAGUAGCCGGCCUGAGAGGGCGAACGGCCACACUGGAACUGAGACACGGUCCAGACUCCUACGGGAGGCAGCAGUGGGGAAUUUUGCGCAAUGGGCGAAAGCCUGACGCAGCAACGCCGCGUGGAGGAUGAAGGUCUUCGGAUCGUAAACUCCUGUCAGGGGGGACGAAUACCUUAACGGGUUUGACUGUACCCCCUGAGGAAGCCACGGCUAACUCCGUGCCAGCAGCCGCGGUAAUACGGAGGUGGCAAGCGUUGUUCGGAAUUACUGGGCGUAAAGGGCGCGUAGGCGGCAUGGCAAGUCAGAUGUGAAAGCCCCGGGCUUAACUCGGGAAUUGCAUCUGAAACUGCUUUGCUUGAGUCCUGGAGGGGGUAGUGGAAUUCCCAGUGUAGCGGUGAAAUGCGUAGAUAUUGGGAGGAACACCUGUGGCGAAGGCGGCUACCUGGACAGUGACUGACGCUGAUGCGCGAAAGCUAGGGGAGCAAACGGGAUUAGAUACCCUGGUAGUC
rnacentral:rRNA from 1 species